GUUGGGUAAUAAGAACUGAGGAACAAGGUAAAUGGCUGAGCUAUUACUGAUCAAGAUGAAAGGAAGAGAACUGCUCCUCUCUGUUCAGGAGUAUGUAUGUAAAGAGAAUGGUCCAACAAAGAUGGAGAAACUGAUGACAUAGGGUAUGGAGAAGGGAAAAAUGAAGAGGCUGGGUCUUGGAGAAAGCAAGAGGGGAUGAGACCCAGAUGUCAGGCAGAAGAAAUUGUGGGCAGUGAGAACAGAAUAAUGGAGAUAAUGAAGAAUAAUGGAGAAGGCAGAGAAGAUGAAGAUGGAUGCAGGUAGUUACAUAAUUUUGUUGAGAGAAAUAUGAGGCAGUUUUCCUUCAUUGCCUUCUUUUACAGUGCUUUAAAAAGCGACGUCAUUAUCUGAGAAUGUAUAUCUGUGUGUAUAAUGUCGGGGGAUGCUGGAAGGUUUGAAAAGAGAGAGGUUUUGAUAGAGUCUUAGCAGGGCUGUGUGGGAUAGUAGGACAUCAUGGGAUAGUCCCUUUCUCUGUUCAUGGGUGAGCAUUGCUGAGACUGGGGGCACUUUUAAGGUUCGG
rnacentral:lncRNA from 10 species